AACUUUUGGCAACGGAUCUCUUGGUUCUGGCAUCGAUGAAGAACGCAGCGAAAUCCGAUAAGUAAUGUGAAUUGCAGAAUUCAGUGAAUAAUCGAAUCUUUAAACGAAAAUUGCGCCCCUUGGUAUUCCGAGGGGCAUGCCUGUUCGAGCGUCAUUACAACCCUCAAGCACAGCUUGGUAUUGGGCUCCGCUGGUUCCAGCGGGCCUUAAACUCAGUGGCGGCGCCCUCAGGCUCUGAGCGUAGUAAAUUGUUCUUUAGCUACAGAGUCCUGGGCGGCGGUGGCCAUCAACCCCCAACUUUCUAAGUUUGACCUCGGAUCAGGUAGGGAUACCCGCUGAACUUAAGCAUAUCAAUAAGCGGAGGCU
rnacentral:misc_RNA from 1 species